AAAUCUUGUACCCGUUAAGAAAUAACUCCUCAGCUCCUGACUGAGUAACUGUCAUUUUUUUGACUGACGACUGGCAAUCACUUUCUAACAGACUAAAUACCUUGGUGUAGGAGGCCACAAUGAAGAGGAAUAAACACCAGACCAGGAAUGAAGAGACUGGAUUCUGACACUAUGCUAUGCGUAUGUCCUUAGUGUGAAUGAACCUGAUAUGACUGAAGAUGUCUAUGGGCAAGAGGGCCAAGAUUGCAGAAAAUGGAGCAGAAGAUGGGCUGUAGAGCAGCAAGGAAGACACAUGAGACAGAGACACGGACUGAUAUACUAAGGCAUUGGGCUACAACCUGAGGAUACAAUGGUGAGAAGAAUGAAACUCAGAAUGGAGGGAAGGAUUAUAUAAAGGAAAGUCACAUAGUCUCUAUCCACCUACUGCAACCAGGACCUAUUCUAAAACUGCAUUUAUUACUUAUUGAAUGUCUACUAUGUGCCAGGCACUGUUCUAGGCAACAGUGAUUAAAAGAAACAAACUAAGAAAGAUACAUCUAUUAUUAUAUGUCGUAGAGAAAAAGACAAGAAACAAGGUAAAUUAGGAAAAUAUAUCCAUGCUCGAUAAUGAUGAUCACCAAACAAAAAAUAUAAAACAGAGAAAGUGAUGGGCACUGACAUUUUAGAUUGGUUAAGGAAGACCUCACUGAAAUGUGAUAUGCGAUAAAGACAGGAAGGAAUUGAGGGACAGGGUAACAUGGAUAUCUGAGAAAAGAGCAUUCCAGCCUGAGGGCACAGAGGAGAGGUGCUUGACCUGUUAGAGGCACAUUUGUUUUGGGAGCACAAGAACAGGAGAAGACGUCAAAGAUGUAACCGGCUAAGAUUGUGUGAGAGAUUAUGAAAAGCUUUGCAAGGUGAAGAGAUGACCUGGCUUUUACUCUGAGUUAGAUGAAUAGCAAUUACGGAGCUUUGAACAGAAGAGUGAUAUGAUACGACUCAUGUUUUAAUAGGAUCUCUCAGGCUGCUCUACUGAUGGGAGAUGGAAAUGGGGGAGGAAUGGAAGCAGAGAAACCAGUUAGAAGCCAAUUAUAAAACCAAAGCAAGAAUUGAGAAUGACUUGGAUGAGGAUGUUUCAGAGCUAGAAAAGCUAGAGGAGUCUUACGUCAUCUCCAACAGACCUCAGUUGCUGUCCAUCAAGCAAGAUGCACACUUUCGAUGGUCCACAUCUGACUAUUUUAUGUGGA
ensembl:lncRNA